UACAGCGGUCUCAAGCGUUGUUCGGAUUCCUUGGGCGUAAAGGGCGCGUAGGCGGCGCCGUAAGUGGGGUGUGAAAUCUCGGGGCUUAACUCCGAAACUGCAUUCCAUACUGCGGUGCUCGAGGACUGGAGAGGAGACUGGAAUUUACGGUGUAGCAGUGGAAUGCGUAGAGAUCGUAAGGAAGACCAGUGGCGAAGGCGGGUCUCUGGACAGUUCCUGACACUGAGGCACGAAGGCCAGGGGAGCAAACGGG
rnacentral:rRNA from 1 species